rnacentral:rRNA from 1 species
CAGUCGAGCGGACAGAAGGGAGCUUGCUCCCGGAUGUUAGCGGCGGACGGGUGAGUAACACGUGGGUAACCUGCCUGUAAGACUGGGAUAACUCCGGGAAACCGGAGCUAAUACCGGAUAGUUCCUUGAACCGCAUGGUUCAAGGAUGAAAGACGGUUUCGGCUGUCACUUACAGAUGGACCCGCGGCGCAUUAGCUAGUUGGUGAGGUAACGGCUCACCAAGGCGACGAUGCGUAGCCGACCUGAGAGGGUGAUCGGCCACACUGGGACUGAGACACGGCCCAGACUCCUACGGGAGGCAGCAGUAGGGAAUCUUCCGCAAUGGACGAAAGUCUGACGGAGCAACGCCGCGUGAGUGAUGAAGGUUUUCGGAUCGUAAAGCUCUGUUGUUAGGGAAGAACAAGUGCAAGAGUAACUGCUUGCACCUUGACGGUACCUAACCAGAAAGCCACGGCUAACUACGUGCCAGCAGCCGCGGUAAUACGUAGGUGGCAAGCGUUGUCCGGAAUUAUUGGGCGUAAAGGGCUCGCAGGCGGUUUCUUAAGUCUGAUGUGAAAGCCCCCGGCUCAACCGGGGAGGGUCAUUGGAAACUGGGAAACUUGAGUGCAGAAGAGGAGAGUGGAAUUCCACGUGUAGCGGUGAAAUGCGUAGAGAUGUGGAGGAACACCAGUGGCGAAGGCGACUCUCUGGUCUGUAACUGACGCUGAGGAGCGAAAGCGUGGGGAGCGAACAGGAUUAGAUACCCUGGUAGUCCACGCCGUAAACGAUGAGUGCUAAGUGUUAGGAGGUUUCCGCCCCUUAGUGCUGCAGCUAACGCAUUAAGCACUCCGCCUGGGGAGUACGGUCGCAAGACUGAAACUCAAAGGAAUUGACGGGGGCCCGCAC